rnacentral:tRNA from 1 species
CAGAUUAAAUCUUUAUAGUUAGGAUUUUCAUUUACGCUGAAUAGGUUGUCGUGCGAUUCGAUAUGAUCUGA